AGGGAAAUAGCUGGGUGGUAGAGCACAUGCUUGGCAUGCAUGAGGUCCUGGGUUCAACCCCAGUACCUCCA
rnacentral:tRNA from 1 species